ACUAUAUUGGCAGAAAAGUGCAUUAAAUUUAGAAUUUAAAUAUAUUUAUAAAUAUAUAAUAUAUAGUA
rnacentral:tRNA from 1 species